rnacentral:rRNA from 1 species
AGCGAACGCUGGCGGCAUGCUUAACACAUGCAAGUCGCACGGUCGGGGGUAACUCCGGCAGUGGCGGACGGGUGAGUAACGCGUAGGUAUCUAUCCAGAGGUGGGGGACAACCGCGGGAAACUGCGGCUAAUACCGCAUGAUGACUGAGGUCCAAAAGCAGCAAUGCGCCAUUGGAGGAGCCUGCGUUCGAUUAGCUAGUUGGUGGGGUAAAGGCUUACCAAGGCGACGAUCGAUAGCUGGUCUGAGAGGAUGAUCAGUCACAUUGGGACUGAGACACGGCCCAAACUCCUACGGGAGGCAGCAGUGGGGAAUAUUGGACAAUGGCGCAAGCCUGAUCCAGCAAUGCCGCGUGUGUGAAGAAGGUCUUCGGAUUAGUAAAGCACUUUUCGACGGGGACGAUGAUGACGGUACCCGUAGAAGAAGCCCGGCUAACUUCGUGCCAGCAGCCGC